UACGGAGGGUGCAAGCGUUAUCCGGAUUCACUGGGUUUAAAGGGUGCGUAGGCGGGCAGGUAAGUCCGUGGUGAAAUCUCUGAGCUUAACUCAGAAACUGCCAUGGAUACUAUUUGUCUUGAAUGUUGUGGAGGUAAGCGGAAUAUGUCAUGUAGCGGUGAAAUGCUUAGAUAUGACAUAGAACACCAAUUGCGAAAGGCAGCUUACUACACAAAUAUUGACGCUGAGGCACGAAAGCGUGGGGAUCAAACAGG
rnacentral:rRNA from 1 species